AGUGCUGUGUAUGCAGCCAUAUAGUGAAUGCCUUCAUUUGCACCCUGAACUCUGAAUAGUCACUUUUAAAACAUCCAUCUGUCAUCCAUCUAGUGAGGUCAGGAGAGUGGCUGCUUAACUUCUGGGGGUUGCAGAAAAGGAAGAAGAAUCAGCAGAGAGCAUUUGUGGCCAGCAAAGCUUAAAAUAUUUCCUAACCGAUCCUUUGCAAAAAAAGUUCACCCACUCCUGUAGUCAGCAGCUCCCCUACUGUGCGCAGUCAGUGUGCCAUCUCAGACUAGCAAAGUUGUCCAGAGAGGAAAGACAGGCCAAAAUAGUUCAGUAUGCUGUCUUACUGGGAGGACAACAGCUUAAGCCACAAAGCCCUGAGUUUGACCCUAGAACUCUGUGGCUACUGGUGACUCAUCUUGAAAAUUAUCAGAUUGAAUCUUCUCUACCGGUUUGAUAACAACUGAUGAGUGGAAAAAGAACGCCAAUCAAAUGUGCAUGCUUAAUAAGCAGCCUCCUUAUUCCCCUCUGCAGAUUUGUGCUUGGAUCAUCUACACUUCCCUGAAUGUUGAAGAAGAUAUGCUAUCCAUGCAAUCCUUGUCGACUGCUUGAUUAAAAAGUGGAUAAACUGUCUUCAGGCCCUUGGAGUAUGGUGUCUGUGUGAAGAAGGGAAUGAGGCAGAAGUAGCAGUCAGUGGUGGCUGAAGUAGGAGAAAGUGCUUGCUAAUGAAAUCUUGAUUUUUCUGUGGCUUUUCUGUGCAAUUGGGUGGCUAAGUAGGAAAGCCAUUGGAGCUUCACUGUAUCAAUUCUGCCUUUCUUGUUUUUUGGAACUCCAAUUCACCAAGGCUCCCUGCCACCCUAUCCAUCUAUAACUUUUCAUCACUUUUUCCUCAAAGUAAGAAGUGUGUCCCAGAAAAUGUGCCUUUGUGACUCAGCAACAUUUCAAAUCCAUCUGAGCCUUCCCAGCGUUCCAAAAGAAAUACUGAUUUGAAUUCAGCUGCUUAAAAAA
ensembl:lncRNA BHLHE40-AS1 BHLHE40 antisense RNA 1